ACGGGAGGCAGCAGUGGGGAAUAUUGGGCAAUGGGCGAAAGCCUGACCCAGCAACGCCGCGUGAAGGAAGAAGGUCUUCGGAUUGUAAACUUCUUUUAUGAGGGACGAAGGACGUGACGGUACCUCAUGAAUAAGCUACGGCUAACUACGUGGCAGCAGCCGCGGUAAUACGUAGGUAGCGAGCGUUAUCCGGAUUUACUGGGUGUAAAGGGCGCGUAGGCGGGGAAGCAAGUCAGGUGUGAAAUCUAUGGGCUUAACCCAUAAACUGCACUUGAAACUGUUUUUCUUGAGUGCUGGAGAGGUAGACGGAAUUCCUAGUGUAGCGGUGAAAUGUGUAGAUAUUAGGAAGAACACCAGUGGCGAAGGCGGUCUACUGGACAGUAACUGACGCUGAGGCGCGAAAGCGUGGGGAGCAAACAGGAUUAGAUACCCUGGUA
rnacentral:rRNA from 1 species